GCAGUAGACGCUGAAGCUUGGUGCUUGCACCGAGCGGAUGAGUUGCGAACGGGUGAGUAACGCGUAGGUAACCUGCCUCUUAGCGGGGGAUAACUAUUGGAAACGAUAGCUAAUACCGCAUAAAAGUCAACAUUGCAUGAUGUUGACUUGAAAGGUGCAAAUGCAUCACUAAGAGAUGGACCUGCGUUGUAUUAGCUAGUUGGUGAGGUAACGGCUCACCAAGGCGACGAUACAUAGCCGACCUGAGAGGGUGAUCGGCCACACUGGGACUGAGACACGGCCCAGACUCCUACGGGAGGCAGCAGUAGGGAAUCUUCGGCAAUGGACGGAAGUCUGACCGAGCAACGCCGCGUGAGUGAAGAAGGUUUUCGGAUCGUAAAGCUCUGUUGUAAGAGAAGAACGAGUGUGAGAGUGGAAAGUUCACACUGUGACGGUAACUUACCAGAAAGGGACGGCUAACUACGUGCCAGCAGCCGCGGUAAUACGUAGGUCCCGAGCGUUAUCCGGAUUUAUUGGGCGUAAAGCGAGCGCAGGCGGUUAGAUAAGUCUGAAGUUAAAGGCUGUGGCUUAACCAUAGUACGCUUUGGAAACUGUUUAACUUGAGUGCAGAAGGGGAGAGUGGAAUUCCAUGUGUAGCGGUGAAAUGCGUAGAUAUAUGGAGGAACACCGGUGGCGAAAGCGGCUCUCUGGUCUGUAACUGACGCUGAAGCUCGAAAGCGUGGGGAGCAACAGGAU
rnacentral:rRNA from 1 species